rnacentral:misc_RNA from 1 species
GGGAGACUUCAUUACAUUGUGCAAGGAGCUGAGGCGGAUAAAAGUGGCUUGCUUGAAGGGAGAACAAAGAGUCCGGCGACCAUGGUGGGCCCCGUCUUGUAUCUCCGUAGUGUUUAUGAAGACGGCCAAGCGUAACAGGCAGUGUAGAGUGGUUUCACUGAAGCUGGAACCUUAGACACUAAUUACGCCAUCUUUGCGCAUCAUUAGUUAUAAUAUGUCCAGAGAAGUGAAAAAUCGAUCCCCGUCAGUUAUUUUCCUUGUAAUCCCCCUCUUCUGCCCAAGCUUUUAUGUAUACAUAAGGUUGUAGUCUUUACAUUUUUAGUUUGUGAUGUUUAUAGUAUCAAAUCAAGAAAAUAGAUGACUUUUAUGUAAAUUUCAAUGUGUAAUGUGUGAAUAGUUUCUAAACUUGAAUUGUAAGCCGGUGUAAUUUGUCUCUGAUUUGGUUGAUCUCAUUAAAGUCGUUUUAGAUUUGCC